GUCGGUUCGUUGUGUUGCGAUAUUGGCAUUUCUAUAGAUCUCCAGGAAAUGAACUUGUUUUGUGUGCAUGGUUCCUGAGGCUCACACUUUUGAUCUUCUGGUCUGGACUUCAUUGUCAGAUGCGAGCACUGCAGUCAAAAGUAAAGGCAGCUGUUCUGAUGUGUUUAGGUAUUGUUUGAAUCUACCACUGCAACAUCAACAGUCAGGGUGUGAUCUGUCUGGACAUCCUGAAGGACAACUGGAGCCCGGCGCUCACCAUCUCCAAAGUGCUGCUGUCCAUCUGCUCUCUGCUCACAGACUGUAACCCAGCUGAUACUCUGGUAGGAAGCAUCGCCUCAGAGUCACUGACUGAUGGAGCACAGCACCAGGAUAACCGUGCAACAGUGGACCAAACGCCGUGCCACAGACUCUGACCUCGACUCUGUUAAAGCACAUUCAUUAUAUGCUUUUAUUGAUUUACAAUAAAGUUUUAUCAGUGACCAAA